rnacentral:rRNA from 1 species
AUUGAACGCUGGCGGCAGGCCUAACACAUGCAAGUCGAACGGUAACAGGAAGCAGCUUGCUGCUUUGCUGACGAGUGGCGGACGGGUGAGUAAUGUCUGGGAAACUGCCUGAUGGAGGGGGAUAACUACUGGAAACGGUAGCUAAUACCGCAUAACGUCGCAAGACCAAAGAGGGGGACCUUAGGGCCUCUUGCCAUCGGGUGUGCCCAGAUGGGAUUAGCUAGUAGGUGGGGUAACGGCUCACCUAGGCGACGAUCCCUAGCUGGUCUGAGAGGAUGACCAGCCACACUGGAACUGAGACACGGUCCAGACUCCUACGGGAGGCAGCAGUGGGGAAUAUUGCACAAUGGGCGCAAGCCUGAUGCAGCCAUGCCGCGUGUAUGAAGAAGGCCUUCGGGUUGUAAAGUACUUUCAGCGGGGAGGAAGGGAGUAAAGUUAAUACCUUUGCUCAUUGACGUUACCCGCAGAAGAAGCACCGGCUAACUCCGUG